UGUGUCUUAGGGAAUAUCCAAAGAACUAGGUAAGAGUAAUUAGUAUAUGGCAUAGGAUACCUUUGUGGUAUGUAAGAUGCCAUAGGAUCCUAGGAUCCUUGGAUACCCUCGUGGUAUGAGCCAAAGGAUCUAAGGAGCAUAUGUGUAAAAGUCAAAUGGUGGAAGAAGUCCUUUUAGGGCACCAACCACCACCUAUAAGUAACGAGAGUUGGAAGAGAGAACUAUCUCAUUCCACACUUCUCUUGUGUGCAACCUUGCUGAUUUCUACUUACUUAUGUUAUGCUUAUAGUGUUCUUUUCUCAAUAGGUUAUAGGCCCACACACUCUUUGUUGUGAUAUUGAAGUAAGUUGAAGUCAUUUUCUCUUUGUUGCUUUUGUGUAGAUUAGAUCUUAUGGUAUUUG
rnacentral:lncRNA from 1 species